UGCCAAAACGGCUAGUAAACUCAAGAACUACCAACGUCCAGAAGAAAGGACACCGGAUGGCAUGUGAAAGCAUUGUUUAGGUAAGUGUGCGCCUUUUAUUACAUAUAAACUUGCCAUAUUGCUUUUCGCGGUGUAAAUAUGCGUCAGCCGUGAGUUCCUGUUUGUGGCGAGUAUAUUAAGGCACAUUUCAUAGAAAGCUAUACCCAUUUCGAGUAGGCCUAAUAGGAGGAAACGGUAACUAAUCUUUUAAGGGGAGCAAAUGAAUAAGCACUCUGUCAUAACUGCAGCGGUUUGCUAUCCUGUGGUGGAUUUGGGAAUAUAUUUGCUACAUUUCAUUGGAAAGUAGUAUGUUCGUCCAGCCUUCGUCCAGGUUCUGUCAACGGUGGUUAGUUAGCUAAUAACCAAGACACUACGGUGGACUUCUCUCCUCUGACCGGUUACCAAGACAGCUGGGUGUGUAGGAAACUGGAACUAAGUCACUGAAGAAGUAAACCGAUGAAAACCGAUUUGGAUUGUCUGAGAGAUCUGUAGGGCACAAGUAAGAGGAGAAGAAUGCUGCUCAGCUGGGUCGGCGUCAGCCACACUACUUAUUCAAGAAGCCCUUGGAUAUCAUCGGCAUGUAUGAAGCACAGUCAUUCCGGUAGUCCGUUCCUCGAUGGACGUGAUGACCUGGCACCAAAACCGCUUAAUGUGUACGGAGCUGUGUCUGCAUCGAGGGAAGAACGCGGCACUGAAAUGACACAAAUGAAAGAAGAUUACUUCUGCUCUGCUGGGUCUGUGACACUAUUUAUCCGAGGAGUCCUCAAACAUCAGGAUGUAGGAAGUAAGAUCUUUUUAUGUCAUGCAUAACAGCCCAUGCGUGCACGCACACACACACACACACACACACACACACACCACACAUAUGCUCAUACACACAUGCACACACACACACACACACACACACGUACAAAACAUGCGCAUGCACAGCCCCACUCUACACCACACACAG